rnacentral:lncRNA from 1 species
GUUAAUUCGUUGUUUGCAAAGGUGAGAUAGAGUACAGGGGUUUGGCCAAGAUUGUCGGGGAUGUUUCCAGAGAAUGCGUUGUUGUUGAGGAAGAGUACGUCCAGGUCUAGUGUGAAGGCUUGAGGCGGGAUUGUCCCUGUUAACUGGUUGAACCUGACGUCCAGGUAUGUCAAGUUGGUUGCCCCUAGGGCUGCUGCGGGGAAAGCUCCUACGAGCUUGUUGUUGCUCAGGUCGAACUCGAAGAAGUUUGGAAGUUUGGAUAUUCCAAAGGGAAUGUCACCUGUGAAGUUGUUGGAGUUGACGUGGAAGAUUACCAGGUCCUUGAGAUCUUCAACGAAGUCUGUUGCAACGAGUGGACAGCCAGGUCCGCCGUUAAAGUUGAAGCCAUUGAAAUUGACGCCAACGACUCUAAACUUGUUAUCUUUGGUGCUUCUGUCGCAUACGAAGCCUUUGUAUUUGGAUUUGUCGUAACAGAUGCGGUUGCCCGUCCAGGUUUUGGUGACGCCAAAAGGGUCGUACUUUAUUCUCCUUUUGAACCUUCGGAUUACUUGGAUGGCCAUUUUUAGUUCCUUGGAAAGAGUAAAUGGAGGUGGCGGUGGCGGUGGUGGAGGUGGGGGUGGGGGUGGGGGUGGUGGUGACGGAGGUGGGGGUGGUGGUGGUGGACAGGGAGGAGGGGGCGGUGGCGGCGGGGGUGGACAGGGUGGAGGUGGGGGUGGGGGCGGAGGUGGACAGGGCGGAGGGGGUGGUGGUGGACAGGGAGGAGGUGGUGGAGGUGGGGGUGGCGGCGGAGGUGGACAGGGAGGCGGAGGGGGUGGUGGUGGACAGGGAGGCGGGGGCGGUGGCGGAGGUGGUGGCGGGGAAGGACACUUGGCCUUGGGGGGAUGCAUUGGAGGAUAUGCGGGCUUUGGAGGGGGAGGGGGAGGGGGCUGUGGGCAAUGUUGGCAUUCUCCAUUGUCAGGACGGUAGGCAGGGGAAUAGGGAGGACUGCCAACCCCUAUAACGAUUUCGAGUGUUUCCCUGUUGAUCGGGGUAGUUGCUGGAGUACCAUUACCAACGACUUGAUAAAACCAGCAAGAGUGCAGGAUGACAAAGAAGACAAGAAGAGGAAAUGUGAGUGAGAAAGUGCUCUCUCUCUCCAUAUUCCAACACUUCUGAUGAUUGAACCCGGAAGAAGGCACAACGUAUAUAUGCUAAUGGGGAGGGAAUGGAGGACCCAAUGAUCGGUGAGGUUUAAUGCGGGUGGUUCAGUGAUUUGAUCCAUACUGCCAAUAAAGAGAGAGUUCGUGAGGAUGACGUCCUUCAAUUGUACUAGGCGCGGUUAACAUUUUCUGUUGUUUUGGGCACUAUGAGUGGAGCCUCCUCAUGCAAUAUGUAGAUUCUUUCACAUACAUAAUUUUUUUUUUUUUUUAAAAAAGAGAUUGAAAAGAUAAAUAAAUAUGUUAAAAAAUCGUAAAAUGCCAUUUCUGCAAUUGUGAUCUACUCUCAGAUAGUAAUCGUCUCAGGUAGGCCACCAAAGUGACAUCAGACGUUUCAAAUGUUAAGUUCUCCGCUUUUUCUUUAUUUAAAAGGUAGGCCGUCUUUUAUUCUUUCUAUUUUCUUUUCUGCUUUAAGGUGAAGAGUGUCUUUUUUUUUUUCAAAAGCUUGAUUUUGAUUGUAAACCUGCCCAUCCGUUCCGAAAAUAUUUAAGAUUUACCGGAAAAAAAAUAAAAACUACAACUCAUUAGCUACAGCUAUCUUUACUCCGAUCUACUCUAUAAAUAAGAACAACACUUUCACUUUAAAAAAAAAGAAAAAGAAAAAGAAAAAAGAAAGAAUAAUACAUCGAUGAUGGAUGUCCAAUAACACGACGCACUUAGCUAGCACCUGCAAUGGCUGUGAAUCCGUUCCCUUUCAAACCCAGCAAGUCAGUUGCCCCUUUCACAAAAGGCAAUACCUACACAAACGGCGCAGCAAGUAGGGGAUAGUGAAGGGGAUAGUAACCAGUAGGACAAAACUUCGCAUGAUUGACCUUUCAACGAGGAUCUGUCCUCUUACAUAUUCCUAGGACAAUUGCCCUCCCAAAUCCCAAUGCAAUUCCGGAGGAGCCAUCCCAAUCGUCAAUACAUCAUUCCAAUCUUGUGCAUGUGCACUUCCUCCUUGAUGGCCUACUGUGUCGCAGUUGACAUGCGCAUCCCCAAUCGUCUAUUCUCAACGGCAUAAACAUUUUACACUCAAUUUUGUAUCUGCACUAACAAACUGUUCCCCUAAUAUAUCUUUACAGGCUACUCAGAUGCCAAUGAAAAUUAAAUAUCUUCAAGAGGGAACAAUAGGUUCCACUCUGCCUUUCCCAGAGUUCUAUAACUGCCCUUUUUUGCUGUCUUCUCUGGAAGAGUUCUAUUUUCAUUCCAUCUUUUACUAUUUUAAUGCAAACUUGGGCCACAAAAAAAAGGGUUCAUGAAUCCACCAAGUUAAGGUUUUUAAAUUUUCUGGCACAAUUUCACCACCAAAGUAUUCCUUUAAAUUUCCUAAAGCUUUGCCUUCAACAAUGAUGACCAUCCAAUCUGCAGCCUAUGUCAGAUAGUGAAGCAGCAAAAAGAUAAAAGAGGAAAGUAGAAAACAAGGCAGCUAAACGUGUUGCAUGAAAUUUCAACUGUCAGUGGCACUCGUAUGGUUUCUAACUUGUCCGACACCGGUGCGCACAGUUUUGCUAACACACUAGAUUUUACUGCACUUUUGUCUACAAAGAGAUGUCUAAAUGCUACUGAUAGGAUAGACGAAAACCACUACUCUGCAAAAGGAAGGAAGAUGGAACUUCAUUAUGAUUACAAAGAGCGCUAUGGUAAGAAAACUAAGCAAUCUUUAACCAAAUUCAAUGAAGCCAAGAACAGAAUGACACUGAGGAAGCAUAUAGUGAAACAGUGUUUCACACUGGCAAAUGUCUAAGAAAUGCAAAAGCUAAUACAAUCAACUCAGUACAAGUUACCCUUGGAAGGCACUAUUACCUCACCAACAGCACUGAUCAAGCAAAUAAAUUUCUUCCUACUAAGCAACUCUUCAGGUGAAAGAUUGUAAACAAUUUUAAGCUAAAAUGCUGAUAACCAAACAACAGAGUGAAGUACAUUCAUGAUACUUUAGGACCAUGAUUAACAAAAUUUUCCAGCUCAAAAGCCAAAUAAUGGCAGAAGAAGGAUAAAGUAACUUCUCUUACCUCAUCACAUGUCACAGGAAGAAUCAAGAGGAACACUGAGGUGUUGUAAUCAACUCUCAUGCUGUUAACCUCCUCAUUCAACUACUCGGGCAUUACUUUCACUAGUAGCAAGCUAACAGCUAUUGACUAGCAGUAGAAAGAAUAACAGUGUAACUCAACCUCCUCAGACACCACUUUGGCAGAAUUCUAUACAACAGCAAGCCUCAAAUAUGAAAUCUCUUCCAGGACCAUAAAUCUCAUGUCGCAAAUCCAUUUGCAGAUACCCUCUCCACUCUGCUAUCCUUCACAUAGAGUGGUAUCCUCACACCAAGAUCCCUAAGUCGAUUAACCACGACGUAGAGCAACUCAAAUGUGAGUUUUGAUUGUGCAUUAAGGUGAUCUCUUACAUUUGGAUGUACGCUGAACCAAUCUCCUAGCAUCUUAUGCACAUGGGAACGAAUCAUUCUCCAUGGCACUGGAUAACUCUCACAAAACUUUAAAUAUUCAACUAGUAAAUCCGCCUGGUCCAGCUUUCCACCUACACAGAUAUCAUCACUUCCUGAUACCCAUUCGACAGUACGGUAUCCAGCAAAAAGGGCUGGGUUUUCCAGCAGAGACUCAGCUAAAAGUACCCCCUCAACCCCAGUCUCAUCCAAACAGCUCUGCACAUCUUCCAUGUAUCUUAUAUUCCCAUUAGCCAGAACAGGGAUUCUCAUGACAUCUCUAACAGCCUUGAUGGCAUUCCAAUUGGCACGAAAUUUCUUCCCAUCUUUUUCGUCCCUAGUUCGACCAUGUACUGCCAAAAGAGCACAACCAGCAUCUUCCAACAUCUUGGCAUAAUUGAUUGUGUCCUCAAAAUUCGUGAAAAGUCGUAUUUUGCAGGAGACUGGAACACUAAGGUUGUUUGCUAGUUUUUCUACCAUAGAUUUAACCAAAGAUUGUCCAUAAGGAAAGCUCCAUAAUUCCCUCGCCUAGCGAUAUGCUGCGGACAUCUGCACGGAUGGCAAAUAUACAACGCUUAACUAUGCCUACUUUCAACCAAACUCAACGAAAAGUGAUUGUAAUGAUACAAGCUGACAGCAGGACAACUUCCAGAUGCCAGUUACAUGGAAUUGCAAGGAAAUUAUACUCGAAAGAAUUAGCCACGACAAAAAGUGAGCAAUCAGUAUAGUUAGAGUCAAUAUGGAAAAACUGUUCUAGAAUACAUGUACGAGCGAAUAUGGAGAUAAAUAUGCAGCACUAGGUGCAAUAUCAGCUUAAUGAAAAUGCCCGUUAUGUCAUUCAUUACUGGAGUUCCUCCUUCUACAGUAGUUAGCAAUAGUAGCUAAACAAGGAAGGAAAAACAUGGGUAGAAGGCAUUACCCCAAAUUGAUGUCUACAUAAUCGCAGUAGGGUUCUACUCUCCGCGCAGCCUCCAACAAUAUAUCUGGAUCAUUCGCACAAAAUUGCACAAAUAGCUGACGGUCCUCCUGUCAUCAUUUCUCAGCAAACUUCUCCUUAAUGAAAUUCAAAACUAUACAACUUCACAGACUAAGUAACAAGAAGCAUAAGACAAGUAACUAAAAACAAGACCCGAAAUUACCUUGCAGGUGGUAAACUCUUGAGAGCGGUACUUUUCAGUUUCGGUAAAAAUACGAGAGUGAAGCAUAGGGGUAUAAGCAGCUUGAGCUCCGUACUUGCGGCAAAGCAUGCGGAAGGGGAGCUCGGAGUUGUCGACCACGGGGGCCACUAUGAACUUAGGUUGCCCAAGCUUCUUCCAGUGUGCCCAGGCUCUCUCGAUCCGCGACUCUCUGCUCAGGUACCCGUUUGGAUUUGGGGCCGGGAGGCCGUCCAAAUGGGCUGUCUCUCCUUCUGGUUCUCCUUGUGGUUCGGAACACAGGCGGUCGUCGUCGUCGCCGCCGUCUUGGUUGACGGCGACGUUGCAGUUUGACGAUGAAGAGGAAGUUAGGUUUUGGAUGGCCAUCAAGUUAUACGAUGAAUUGGGCGGCUGUGGGCAAAUACUACGUGUGGCGCAGAGUGGCUUCCUAAUAAAUCUCAUAAGGAGGCGAUGAAGGCUGGGGAGGGUACGCAGCCCAUGACCACCCUGGAAGUUGGUGGGGAAAUUUUUCCUUCAGUUUAUUUGGAGGGAGGAGGCGGGGACCCCGCGGGAUUAUAGCUGUUUAGAUGGGUGAAAAAAAUCGGAUCCGGGGCAGGAAGGCUACGUGUAUUUUGCACGCGCGUAACUCGAUUUACACACAGAUAUAAUUUAUUUUCAAUAACGUGUAACUCAAAAAUAAAAUUUUUUGAAUUCCACACAUAUUGUAAAAAAUGAGGUAUAAAAUAAAAUCUGGACCUUACAAUUUUUUUGAUCAAAUCUUGACCAUGAACUGUCAGGAACGGCCGUAGAACCCUCUUCCAAAAAAAUCAAAUCUUUUCUUCAGACGAGGAUAGGGUUGUUUUGGAGUUGAGGCUCCAAAUUGAGGACGCGGGGCUGGAGCGGUUGUCAGAACAACCGCUCCGGAAGGUGUAACACCAUGUGUACAUGGUGUAACAUCAUCUAUACAAGGUGUAACAAUAGAACAACAGCGAGUAAUAUUAGAACAAUAUUUUUGUGGGUCCCACACGGCGUGAAAAUCGAGUUACAAGACGUGAUUUGAGCCGUACAAAUUUUUGAGAUUUCAUCCAGGCCGUGAACUGUCUGGGACGGUUGUCUCUGGCAACCGUCCAGGCCCCUCGUCCCCAAAUUGAAGUCUGAUGUUGAUGCAUACUAAGUAACUUUUAAGCCGAAUUACGAGGUCAAGACAAUUAAUCCGAGUUACAUAAUAACUCGUAGGCUUGAGCUUACAUAUCAACUAGUAUUUUGAUUGGUGCUAUGCACGGAUUUAUAUGAGAAGGAAGAGAAAUAUGGUCAAAUACAACAUUAUUAUCCCUUUCUCUCAUAUUCUUCCUCUUUGUGCCACUUUUUCCACCUCUAAACCUCCUACUCUCCACUACUCUCCUUUUCACUUUGUGAAUAUAACUUUUUCGCAUCCCUACAACCUUUUGUAAUUCUUUGAAAUCCUUCCCAAUUUUUUUGUAUUCCUACAACCCUUUCUAUUUUUAUCAAAUCCUAUUUUCCCUUUGCUCUAUCUCGCUGCCGCCCAAUUAUCCUAUCUCGUAUCUAAUUUUACAACCCACUUGUCUCCUAUUCUACUAUUAUUUUUAUCUAUUUAUAAAUGUAAAUGGUAACAUAUUUAUUUGGCUCGCCUACUAACAAAUGAGUUUGCGUGUGUAAUUUAAUUGGAUUGAAAUUGGUGACCAAAUUAACCCAUUAAUUAGUGGGUAUGAAAUUGACAGAUUUGGAUCACUUAUUUUGACUUAAUUAAAUUAGAUGUAGAUUCAAACUCAAUCAUUAGUGGGUAAAUCUAAAUUACUCUAAUAAUUAUAUUCUAAUUUUUGCAAAGAUGUAUUCAUCUUUUUUCCUCCUCUUUAAUUUCUAUUAUUUUAUUUUUUAAAAUUUAUCCUACUUCCUUAAUUUCUUUCAUAAAAGUUUAAUAAAUUUCGCGAAUAUUAAUUGAUUGUUUGCAUUAAUAUCUAAAUUAUUUUUAGAUUGUCGUAUAGUGAUAAAAUUUGAAACUCACUGUGAUGAUCAUUUUAGGCUCCUUUAAGCAAAUUUUUAUGUUUUUUCCUCUUUCUUUAGAUAAAAAUUGAUUUAUUAACUUGAUAUGUUGAUAUGAUUUACUAUUUUGUUGCUAUACAAAAUAUGGAUGAAAAAGUAAAUAAAAUUUGGUUGUGGGCUGUGAAUGGAUGAUUGGAUAAUCCAAACCCAUAUAAAUCUAUAUUCAUUUAUGAUUCAUCUAUUUUGAACCAUUAACUAAAUAGGAAUAUAUAGAUUAACCUAAUUAUAACUUACCCAGACUCAUAUGAAUCAUCAAAUUUGAUAACUGUCCCCUAAUCUUUACCUUCGCUAACCCUACAGUUCUAUCUUUUUAAUGCUUUCACUAUUUAGAAUUCAUUAGCUCACUUUUUAAGUGUUUUUGGAUAUAUAAAAAGUUAGAAUUAUUUUUCCAAGUUGCUGCCUCAUUUUUAAGUGUUUUUAAUCAAAUAAAAAGCUAGAAUUGCAAUCAUCGAGAAAAAGUAAACUUUCGGAUGUAAAAUUGGUGAAAUACAACCUUUUUAUCAAAAUUUUGCUAAAAUACCACCAAAAGCAACCUUAUAAAUACACCUUUAUUAAUUUAAAAUUCAUACAUAAAUUUUUCUUUACAUGCACUUUUUGGUAUAUAUGUGCUAAAUGAAAAGUCAUAUAGAUGCUUGCACGAUAUUAAUAUUGAAAUUAUUCUAAGUGCAAAUAAAAUGUCAUAAUUGUUAUUUACAUAAUCCAAUUUAAUGUUAGAGUAUAAUUUCAAUAUUCAAAUUUUAAAACUUUAAAAAACAAACCUACUGAAUAAAAUCCAACAUAAAAAAUAUAAAAUUAUAAAAAGUAAACCUAAAAAGUGCCCUCGGCUUGUUGAAUACAAAAAAAAAAGUUUAAGACCACAAGAAAAUUGAUUUGGUGAUUGAAACAUAAAUUAUUAAAAAAUAAGAGUAAUCGAGUAUAUCAUUAGAAUAUUUUGACAAAUGAUUAUUGUACCCAAAAGGAAAGCGACAAAGAAAUAAUUGGAUGAAUAACUCAAAAAUAGGACUAAUCACAUUAUCUCAAGGAUUUGGCUAGAUAAAUUAAUCCUCUUUAAUGAAGGAAUAAAAAGGGCUAAAGUGAUGAGGAUAUAAUAGGGUGAAUAAUUUUAAAAUGAAACUAAUCAAUUAUCCCUGAGAAAUUUGGCUUGACAAAUGUAUUUUAUUUAAUUAAGAAGUAAAAACGAAUAAAAAAAUAAAUAACAAAUGAUAAACAGUUUAUGAAGGAGAUAGUUGGAAAGUUUUAAAUUUUAAAUUUAACUAGUGAUAGAAUUAGUUAUAACCCACUAUUUUAAAGUUUUUAAUUAGAUUUUAUGUCUAAAAAUAUUCCAAAAUUCUAGAAAAAAUAAUGAGAAAAUUAGAAGCCAUUGAGAGGGUCUCUGCUAAAAACCCUCUCUGCAAUACAUAUAAACAAGCCUAGUACCUUGGACAAACGAAACAAAGGCAAAUUAACAAAUAUCUAACAUACAUCCUAUAGCAUAUGAAUGUUGUCCAAUUCGGUGGAAACAUCUAACAUGUUUCUAUAUGAAAACUUAUGAUGAAAAUACUAUUUUAAAUCCUAUCUCUCCAUACAAAACAAAUAGAAAAUAAAAUCAAAACGCACAAAAUUCAAGAUAUGUUACUAAAUUCUUACAAUUGAAAAUGAACAUGUCUUUUUAAAAAAGAAAAAUAUGUGUCGAAGGAAGAUUUACCUGAUAAUCAAGAGGAGUGGAAAACCAAAAUCGAUACUUUAAUGUGCCAACCGCUUGCACUGGAAAAUACCUAACCAUAUAAAGAGUAUGAGAACCCGAAAAAUUUUCUUAUUUUUAUCGAAUAAUAUUGGCUUAUUUAAAUAUUUAUCCACAUGUUCCCUCCAAAUAAUUUAUUUCAACCCUUUUUGAACCAUUUACAUGGAACUAUGACUUGCAAUAAUAAAUUUAUCCACCUGUUCCGUUAAUAAAUUUAAUUUUCGAAAACUCGUUUAGUGAGAAUAGUGAAUACACGUUUGGAAAUAGUAAUGAGUUUGAAAAUUUGGAAACUUAUAUAUAUUGGUCUUAAAAUAAGUAUUUUUAUGUUUAAGUGCUCAAGUGAUAGUUAGUUGUACUAUCGUUAUAAGAACUUCUUAGAAAUUUAACUCUAUCACGCAUAAAUCGAAAAUACGUGUUUUUACGCGCGCGAUCAAUUGAAGGACUUAAGACCUUUAUUUUGAGACUAUUAAGAGUGAAUAAUGAUAGUAUGAAUGGAAGUGCAAUAGAGAUUUAUUGCACUAGUGAAACAAACCCGAGAGGAAUCAAGCAUGAGACGCACGCGUACGUGCACUAUUCCUAGUUGACUUUUAAAGGAAUUUUUGGCCACAAAUUUUAAAGCUUCUCACGGAAGCUUACCAUCAGCACCAUCUCUUCUUUUCCUUCUCCAAGCAGCCGGCCACACCAAUGGAAGAAAGAGCUAACCUUCUUCAUCAUUUCACUUCACUUUACUCCACCAAAUCACUUCAAAUUUACACUAAACUUUGCUAAACACUUGGAGAGCAACUCAAGUUGGAAAAAGGACUUCAUUUUCACGGUUCUUGUGAGCUUUAAGAGGACCGAAAUUUCUGUCUAAGUCAUCAAUUAAGGUAAUCAAUAAUCAAUCUUGAAAUUCUUGGUUUAUGGAAGUAAUAUAGCACUUAUAAGUUCAUAUCUUCUUGUGGGUAGCUUUAUUUAUGUUGAAAAGUUCUUGUGUGGGCUCUAUGAACUCCCACUAUGAUUUGAUGGACUGAUUUGUGGUGUUUUGAUGUUAUUAAUGUUGGUUUAGUGCUUAAAUUAGUAGAAAUGAGUGAUAUUAUGGAUGAAAGUUCAAAGGGAGUGAAGAUGAAAAACUUUCUGUUUCUGCCCCUGUGAAUGUCCAUGACCCUUAGAGCAAAAUUUUGUAGUUCUAUUGACUUGUUUAUGAUAUAUACAUGUUGUGUGGGUGGUGUAGAAAGUUUCAUCAAAAAAUUUCAUGAUUUGGUUGGCCAAAUGAUGUGUUUUCGGAAGUCAGUAAAAACUGGAAAUUUUCCCGUAACUGCUCUGGCAGUGUUUUUGUUUUGGUUAUAACUUUUUACUUCGAUAUCAAAAUCGAGUGCCGUUUGCUGCACUGGAAACUAGACAUUCCCAGAUUUCCAACGGUAUAAAAUUCACGUCCUGAUUCCUCCUGAGUAGUCUAUACCAAUCGUUUGAACAUGACUAUCCUGUUUCCCUAGUUCACUGGAAGCUCUGUUUUGAGCAGCAAUUUGAUGCUCAAGUAUGAGCUAGUUGUGGGCAGAUUUUGACAACGAUUUCUUCUAAAAAACUGUAGCUUUAUGAAUCUAGUUUUCAACGCUACCAACCACACUCAAUUCCAAGUUGAAUUGAGUGAGUUAUGGCCGUAUUUCGAAACUGACUCAAUGAUUUGAAAUCCUCUUUUGGCUAGUAAAUGUCUAAAUCUUGAUUGGGACUUGUUGUCUGAAAAUUCUUGGUGUUAAUCAUCUACCAAAUGUAUCUUGGAUGUUUCUUAGACAUUGUCUAUGCAAAUAGACCAUGUUUGAGAUACUUGGUUGGUCAAACGUUUUGAAAACGGAAAAAGGAACAACCAAGACAGAUUUGCCUUGGAACUUUCGUGAUUUGGUUAACCAACUUUGCGUACGUAUUUUUCCAUGAAAUUUGACAGAGGCAUAGCCCUUAUAUGGUAGGGUGGUACUGCCAAAUUUGGUGCCAUUCCGAAUCCAUUUCAAUGCUUAAACAAAGUCCCAAAGUUUAUAACUUAAAUCUGAAAAAUUUGCCUAACCGUCUCAAUUUUUCAGCAACUUUGAGCUACUAUAACUUGGUCCUCAAAACUUUGAUUCUUGUUCCGCUCAUUUUUUUUUAAACUUUGAUUGCAACUCUAAUUGAGUUUCAAAUUUGAGGGGUUAUUUCAAAUUCUGUGAAUUUUUCCGAAUUUUCAAAGUUGGUCAAAAAUCAACCCCGAAACUGUCUUGCAAGCCUAAAACAGAAAUUUUGGGCCAAAUUUCGAAUGCCUUCCAUUUGGAAUCAUGGAAAAGUGUAUUUUAGGAACUUUUAGCACUUCGAAAAAAGUUUCCAACGGUACCAAGUUUUUCAAUUUUGGAUUUGUAAUGAGUGAGAUACGAUUUUUCAAAGAUCUCAUAUCAAAACUGAAAUUUUCGAAACUUAAGGAAAUGGAGUUUUUCGAAUUCUCCUUUUUCCCUCGAUAUCACUUGAACGUUUUACACUUGAUUUCAAAGACGAAAACUCGAUUUUUCUUGUGGUUUAAAAACCCCACUUUCGUGUCUUGAUUCGCGAGUAAUUUAGGUUCGCUUUCGUGAGAUUUUUUCUUGGAUUGUACAAGCGUACAAUCAUUCGUGAUAAUUAGGGUAUAUAAAUGAUAGUUCACUAUUAAUUGCUCAAGCUCGCACAAGGACCUUCAAGAGAAUUCCACGGUGGACACCUGAAUAUGAAGUGACAUUUCUUCUUUGUUUAUUUGGUGAGUGUCAAGUAUGUGUUAAAUGCUUAUAUGAUUGAGAUAUUAGUUGUACAAGUGUUAUACAUGACACGUAAACUUACCGAGUCGAGUGUGUACUUUAUCGCACUCGUUCUCAUUUGAAAUAAAUGACUCAUGCUUGACCUGACUUAACUUGCUUGACUUGACGUGACUUGCUUGACUUGACGUGACUUGCUUGAUCUGACUUGACUUGCUUGACCUGACCUGACUUGUCUUGACCUGACCUGACUUGCUUGACCUGACAUAACUUGACUUGAAAAAUAUGCUAUGGCUGCAUAAGUCGAUUGGAGCGAUAUCUCAUCAACCUCUGAACGAUAGCAAGUACCAUACCGAUUUGGUGGGAGGUACCUCUCGAAUCGUCUCAGACCUAUUAACUGAACGAUUGUAAGUACCACACCAAUUCGGGUGAGAGAUAUCCCUCGAAUCGUCUCAGUACCCUAGACCUCUGAACGAUAGCAAGUACCACAUCGAUCCGGGUGGGAGGUACCUCUCGAAUCGUCUCAGAACUCUAAAGCAUUCUAAGUCGAUUGGAGCGAUGUCUCAUCGACCUCUGGACGAUAGUAAGUACCAUAACGAUCCGGGUGGGAGGUACCGCUCGAAUCGUUUCAAAACUAUAAACUGAACGAUAGUAAAUACCACACCGAUUUGGAUGGGAGGUACCUCUCGAGUCAUCACAGAAACAUACAUGGAAUACGUGAAGGGCUACGAACUCAAUUACCUACCCGGGGGACGGGGUGUCGUCACGAGAAGGUAUUAAAAUUGAAUUUGGGCAAGGUAAGAAAUCAUUAGUUCCAGAGAGUUUCUGCAUCCUACUCAAGGGUGUUUAUUAUAAAUUAUGAAAUUUCUUGAAUGUUAUAGUUUUCACUAUUGUGUAAGUGCUAUUAUUAUUGAAUUACUUGUCUUGCAUAUUUUCUUGGCCUCACGAGCAUCCGCUCACCCCGUUAGACUUGCUUUCUUUAACAGGAGCUGAAAUGGAAGGAAUUAUGGAAAGGUCGACUUGAUGGCCUUUUUAUUAGAAUUUUGAAUGUAUUCAUUUAGUCAACUUUUGAAAACUGUAUAUUUUGGGAUUGUAAGAUAUUUUGGUAACUUAUGAUGUAAGACUUGAUCGAUUAUUAAGAAAUUGACCUUCCUUUAUAUUUUCGACUUUUAGUACUGAUUGGUUAUUUUUAAAUUUGAAUUGAAUUUGUACCGAGUUCUGGCGAGAGUUGGACAGGCGUCCCGCAGAUACCCUUGGGUUCGCCCUUGGGAGAAAUAGGAGCGUCACAAAUAGGCUAUAUAUAGGCAUAAGAAUUGAUAAGAAUAUUAAAAAUAGUUUUAUGUUAAUUUAAGUUGCUUAAAGUACAGAACUUUAGAUAGAAAAUAAGAAUUGAUAAGGAUAUAAAGAGAUAUUGAUAAGAAUAUAAAAAGAUGAUAAUAAAAAAUAGUUUUACUAAAGACGUGCAUGCUAAAAAAAUUAUAUGAGUCAUACCUUGUUGUUAGACCUAGAAGUUCACAAAUCAAAAGAGGAGCAAGCGGCCGCAAAUAUAUGAUUAUGAUAGAAUGAUAAUCAGCCGCGAAUAUAGGAUAGAAUGCUAAGGACGGUUUUAUAAGUCAAACAUGGAUGAUAAGGAUGAUUUUAUAUUUGAAAUUUGAUUUAGAUCGAUAUUGAUAAUUGAUUUCGUGCUUAUGAAAAGAUAGAGAUAAACUCCAUAUAGAGCAUAGGUUAUUUUUAAAAAAAAAGGUGAAAAUCAUGGAAUAAAUGAACAAAGGCAAAAGAAGAGAGAGAUGGAAGAGCGUAGAUUAUUUUAUAGAGCACAUUAAAACCACUUGCCCUGUCGUUAAGUCAUGUAGGAAAGAGAAAGCAUGAAACGAUAAAAAUGAAAAUAUGAUUUUAUUAUAUAUAUAUAUGACUAGUAUGAAUACCCGUACUACGCACGAUGUUGACAUUAUUGAAAAUAAAAUGAUGAAUAAAAAAAGGUUAAAAAAUUGUACCAACACAAUUAAAAUGUAAUAUCGGUCUAACAAUAGUUUAAGAUAUGAUAGAAUAUGUAUAUCAUUCAAGAACUGUUUUUUUGGGAAGAUAGAUUUUGAAAAAAUAAUAGAAAUUUAUAUUAGAAAAUGAAUAAUAUAUGAAUAAAAAUGAAUGUAAUUGAAUGUUGUUAAAAUGAAACACUUCCAAAUAUUAUGCAUUUGAUUUGAUAAUUUUGCAUGAAGAUGCGAACACUUUUCACACCAAUCAACUUUUAGUACGAAAGUCAAAAUUGGUGAUUUAAUUAAUUCUGUUGAAUUUUGUGGAGUGCGUACUACAAAUAAAAAUGCACGAUCUUUGCCUGAAUUGAUUCGUUGGUUGAACAACCUUUCACUAUUUUUCUGAGAAAUAAGCAUGUACGAAAUUCAAAAUUAGUGUAUAUUUUUAUAUACUUUAUAAAUAGCAUUAUAAAAAAGCACUAUAUAUCAAGAAAUUCUACCUUUAUUUGUAAUUCUCUGAGAUAAGAAAUAUCACAACCAAAUACGAAUCGUGCAUGUCUAUCUUGUAGAUUAAGAAAGUUCUCUUAAUUAGAGUGAGCACGCAAGAAAGUUGAAUGAGAAUGCUAUGUUUUGGAGGACUUUUAAUUGAAGUGAAAUUCUUAAAUUGGAGAAUUCUUAAUUAGAGUGGGAAAAUGGGGGAAAUGUAAGGAAAACGUGAACGUGAUUAUAGGAUUUUUAGAAGCGGUUAUAAGAUUAGUUAAAAGAUAAACAUUUCUUAAAUUGGAGGACUCUUAUUUGGAGUGGGAGACGUGGGAAAAAUGUGAGUAUAAUUAUAGGUUUUGUAAUAUACUCAAAUCACCGAUGAGAUAAAGUUUGCCUAAAUAAACUUUACAGUAUCCUAAUUCUUUGCAAAAAAAAAAAGCGCUAAAUAGUUAUAAUUGGCAUUGCAAUUUACGGCAACGUGCCAGUGGCAUCUAGUCCUAAUUUUUUUUUGGAUCAAAAUCAAGUCCUAAUUGAUUCUGCUGUUUCUCGAUCAUGUUGUAUGCUUCCAAAUUCUACUUAGCGUGUAAUAAUUGAUAAUGGGUUAUUCUAUUUUUUCAUGGUAUUGGACAGGUGAAAAUCACACCUGAAGUGUGAUAAAUUUACUAUAAACUUCUAAUAUUAUCUCCCCUAAUUUUUGUGUACUUUUUAAAAAUUUUAAACUUUUGUCAACAAUAGGCUAGUCACGCAAAUAAAAAAAAGUGACUGGUCACACAUCUUAGUCUUUGCCCUAAAGAACUCAAUCUAGCAAAUUUCUUAGAACAAUGGUGAAAAAAAUCAUAUUGUUUCUUUUUUUUUUUGGAUCUGAAACAGCCCUAUUCAUUUUUUAAAAAAUAAAUAAAUUGGCCAUCUUACGUUCAUUAAGAAAGGAAAAAAAUUUUUGUCACUACACAUGGAUGUCCGGCCAUCCUAAAAGGAAAAAAAACAAUUGUUCCGUUCUUGCAAUUUUUUUAGAGUUAAAUAUAGUAAACCCCUUAACUUUACAUUUAGUUGCACUUUACCCCUUCAACUUUACAUUUAGUUGCAUAUUUGUGAUUUUUUUGAAACGUGAUUGUAAUUUGCAACGCUCAUUUGUAGGCGUGGUUAUAGGAUCAGUUUAGUGAUAAAUAUUUUUUAAUUAUAAAAAUGUAAAAUUGUAUUAAAAUAGCAUACGAAUGAGCAUUUGUCUUUAAUUAAGAAGUAAAAAGGAUUUAAAGUAUAAAUAACAAACUAUAAAUGGUUUAUGAAGUAGAUAGUGAGAAAGCUUUAAAUUUUAAAUUUGACUGGUGAUAGGGUUGGUUAUAACCCACUACUUUUUAUGUAUUAAAAUAAAUACAAAAAUCUAGAAAAAAGAAUAAGAAGUUUGAAAGUCAUUGAGAGGCUCUUUCCUAAAAACCCACUCUGCAAUUGUAUCUAUAUAAAUUUGAGAAGGGAUUUUUUACAACGAGCCUCCACGUAUCUUCCUACUACCAAUUCCAUUUUUCUAGCAUUUCAUAUUUAAUUUAAUUUAUAAAAUAUAUUUCUCUCAACUUCCACAUCUACUAUUCACAUUUGAAAUUGUUGGUUACUUUUUAAAAUCAUUUCAUUUCAAAUUGUUAGUUAAUGUGCAUGUUAUCCUAUUUGAACUUCAACCCAUCACGUUUCCGAUUGCCUUGCGUUAUUUAUGAUUCUACAAAAAUUAAAACUUCUAUAAGACCAUAAGAAGAGAUAAUAAAUAUAACACAAUUUCAUGCUUUCUUAUUAAUUUAAAUAAGUAAAAUUAUUUACACUCCAUUUCUUAGUUAAAAUUAUUUACACUCCACUUCAAUAAUCAUUUUGAUCAUAUAAUUUUUAUUAAUUAGACUAUAUGAUAAAACAAAUGGUGGAAUUGUAAAUAAUAAAAAAUGGAGUGCAAAUAACAUUUUCUUAGGUAAGAAGUGGCUUCCAUACCUUUCUAAUUUAAAAAAGUAGUAACUCCGCUUAUAUAGAAAUUUGGUUUGAAAUUUAUUAGUGGGAGGGUAAAUAAAAAGAAAACAUUGCCAAAUUUAGUAACAAUAAAAAAGUAAAUGAUAAUAUUUUAUCUUUUAACUUAGUAAUUCUAAGUAAAAGGGCAAAAUUAAAUAGAAAACAAAAAGGAAAUAAUGUCGUGGAUUUAAAAAAUCAAGAAUGAUACCAUUCAUGAAAUUCAAACUAUGAAAUUACUAAAUAAAAAACAAAGUACUACUAGCCUUUUAACAUGAAAUUUUUUAUUGAAAUAUUCAUUUUUGAUAAAAAAAAAUAAUGAUAAUAACAACGCCAAUUCUACCAAAUUUUUUUUAAAAAGUAACAUUAUAGCUUAAGAGAAAUAUAUAGAACAUUCAACCCGUUUGGAUUAGCUGUUUUUGAGGUUGUUUUUCAAAAACAGCACUGUAGCAUUUCGUUUUUCAAAUACAAAUCCGCUUGGAUUAGUUAUUUUUGGGGUUGUUUUUCUAAAACUAUAUGAAAAACUUUUACUGUAGAUUUUUUUGAAUUAUUUUUGAGGUAUUUUUAAAACAUAUUUUUGAGUAUUUUUAUAAUUUUUUAUUUUUUUAUUUUUAUAUUUAUAUACAUUUAUGCAUUUAUAAUACAUUUAUAAAUAUUUAUAAAUAAAUAUAUUUAUAUAAAAAUAUAUAAAUGCAUUAUAUUAUAUAUAAUACAUAAUAUAAAUAUAUUUAUAAAUGUAUAAAUUAUAAAUGAAUAUUAUAUAAAUGUUUAUUAUAAUUUAAAAUUUAAAAUUUUUAUAUUUUUAUAUUUUUAUACAUUUAUGCAUUUAUAAUAUAUUUAUAAAUAAAUAUAUUUAUAUAUUUAAAUAAAUAUAUACAUAAUAUAAAUAUAUUUAUAAAUGUAUAACUGUAUAUUAUUAUAAAUGUAUAAAUUAUAAAUAAAUAUCAUAUAAAUGUAUAAUUAAUAAUUAAUAAUUUUUAUAUUUUUAUAUUUAUAUACAUUUAUGCAUUUAUAAUACAUUUAUAAAUGAAUAUAUUUAUAUAAAAAUGUAUAAAUGUAUUAUAUUAUAUGUAAUAGAUAAUUUAAAUAUAUUAAUAAAUGUAUAAAUGUAUAUUAUUAUAAAUGUGUAUAAAUUAUAAAUUAAUAUUAUAUAAAUGUAUAAAUUAAUAUAUUAUAAAUAUAUAUUAAUAUUAUGUAUAAAUGUAUGAAUAUAAUUAAUAUAAAUAUAUAAAUGUGUUAAUAUUAUGUAUAAAUAUAUAAUUAAUAUUAUGUAUAUUAAUAUAAAUGUAUAAAUGUAUUAUAUUAUAUAUAAUACAUAAUAUAAUGUAUUUUAUAAAUAUACAUAUAUAUAUUAUGUAUAAAUGUAUAAUAUAUAUAAUAUAUUAUGUAUAUAUUAAAUAUAUAAUAUAUAAUAUAUAAUAUACAAUAUUUAUAUAAAUGUAUAAUUACAUAUUUAUAUUAUAUAUAAUUUAUAUAAUAUAUGAUAUUUAUAUAAAUAUAUUAUAAAUGUAUACAAAUAUAUUUUAUAUAAAAUAUUAUAUUUAUAAAAUGUAUAAAUUAAUAUAUAAAUAUAUAAAUAUAUAAUAUAAAUUAAUAUUAAUAUAAUUUAUAUAUAAUAUACAUAAUUGAAAUAUACAUAUUAUAUAUAUUAAUAUCUAUUAUAAAACAAAAUUGCAUAAAUAUAUUUAUAAAUUUAUAUAUAUAAAUAAAUGUAUUUAUAUAAAUAUAUAAUAUUUAUUUCAAAUUAUAUAUUAUAUAAUAUUAUACAUAAUUGGAAUAAAUAUAUUUAAAUUAAUAUAAUAUAUAUAUCCUAUAUUUAAUUGAAAUAAACAUAUUAAAUAUGUAUUUGGAGUUGUUUUUGAUAUAUUGUUUGGAUAUGUGUUUUUGAAAUUGUUUUUGAAAUACACAUUUACUGUAGCAUUUGGAAUGUGAAAAACAGUUUUUCAAAAACAGCCCCAAAAACAAGAAUCCAAACGGACCCGUACGUAAUUUGUAUAUAUCUGGCCCAAAUUUGACAUUAGAUUUGAAUAAGAGUGCAAAAUCCAAACACUAAGGAUAAGUUUUGGUAUCACUAAGGAUACAUAUUUUAUGUAAAUAUGUAUUUGUUAUGUUAAAUAUAUAUAUAUAUAUUGAUUGUAAUACUUGAGAAUAUUAUAGAUAUUAUCAGUUUUUCAUUUUCAUUUUUAGAUACUAAUAAUUGCAACUAUUGCAAUUAAUUUUUAAUUUUAUAUUUUCAUUAUGAUAGGUAAAGUUAAAUAUAUUGGGUCACAGGGAUAUGAAUUUAGAGGUUAGGUAAAGGGGGAAUAGGGAGGGAAGAAAAUGGUGAGAAGUUGAAAAAUAGCAGGAAAGAUUGAAGAAGAAAUAUGGGUUACAAGGAUGGGCGGAAAAGGGAGAGAAGAAAAAAGGGGAUUGCAGGGAUAUGACAGAAAUGACAAAAAAUAAUAAUAAUAGAGAGAGUGACACCAUGAUAGAAGAUAUGAAAGUCAUAUGAGGCAUUUGAUGACUAAUCUAAAUGCGGUCAACAAUUUUAGGGGCACAAGAUAUGAGAAAGAUUUUUUUCUAAAAAUGGAAGAAAAUAAAUUGGUUAUAAUUUAUUUUUUUAUAUUAUAAGUUUUGAUAUAUGGGUAUAACAUAAUAUGUUUUGUCGGAUAUUAAGAAAUUGACCUUUUUCUAUAAAACUUUUCUUACCUUACCAUCCAACCCAACCAUAUCCUUAAAUGCGUUAAUAAUUCUUUUAUCAUGUAAAUCAUUAUAGAUUAUUUUUUUUUUCAAAUUAUUAAGCAUACACUUCUUUAAAAUUUUGAGUCUGCUGUGGGAUAUAUAAAGUAAUUUCCCACUAAAAAAUACAACUAGUGAUUAAACCGAUUCAGUAAUUCCCAAGAAAGAUCGUCGAAACAAUCUCCUUAGACAGAAUUACUUGGAAUGGUAAUUCUGUCUAAGGAGAUUAUUUCGACGAUCUUUCCUGGGAAUUACUAAAUCGAUUUAAUCACUAGUUGUAUUUUUGAGUGGAAAAUUACCCGGUUUCCCCAACAGGAUAUCACACAUAAUAUUAUAUAUACAUUAUUAGUAUAUAAAAUAUUUACUCUAUCAAUUAAAAGGAGCUCGAGAACCCAUCACAAUUUACUCUCUCUCUCUCUCUCUCAUCCAAAAACACAGGCACAACAUUCUAGUAUUCACAUACUUGGUAAGCUUGUUAUUUUUAUGGAAGCAUGAGUACUGCCUGCACAUGGUAACAAGUAUCUUUCCUAGUGUGAAUGAUACGUUGUUACCUUCUGUAGCCAAGUCAUCCGCCGAAUUUCAAAAAAUUGAUGGAGGAGUAUGUCAACUUUUGCACAGGUGCAUUUUGAGUGAAAUUAUAUACCAUUAGCUGGGUUAUUGCUUUAUCUCUGACUCCAGUCCACUGAAUGUGACCUGGAUGCUAAACUUCGACAGAGCUGUCUAGAAAAAUUAUGCGGGGUAUAGCUCUGGCAUUGGGUGGAUCACCAGUUGAAUUUGAAGGGACAAUAGCCGGUGAUCCAUUUUGGGUGCUGCGUAUAAUUGGCUAUCCUGGUGUCUCCCCUGCAAAUGGCCAAGACAUGCCAAAAAAUGAUAUUGGAUGGUGAGAUUGCUGAAGAUGGAUUUCAUCUUCUUUUAUUUCACUUCUAGCACUUGAUUGAUAUGAUUUUGUGCUUGUUUAUGUCUUUUAUCCAAAUGAACGCAGUGGAGCUCAUACGGAGUUUGGUGUAAGCAUGAGGUGUUCUUAUUUAUACGUGACGAUGACCUCUUGUUCUAUACCAGGUCUGGUGACGUUAGUCAAUCAAGAUGAUGGUAUUACUGCUCUUCAGGUAUCGCCCUCCUGUCUACUUUCUUCUUUAUUUGCCUUCAUUUUUUAGCAUUAGUGUGUAUCCUGAAGUUCUUCGUGUUAAACUUGGGUCUGUUUCAUUAGUUUCUGCUUGAAAUAUGCAUGUUUCUCUGUGUUCCAUUGACACCACUCUGCACUCUUAAAACUUUCAUUAGUUUCUGCUUGAAAUAUACAUGUUUCUCUGGUUUUUCAUUGUCACUACUCUGCACUCUUAAACUAGUCCCUUUGUAGGUAAAAAACCUUUCUGGAGAGUGGAUAUCAGGACCACCCAUUCCUGGGACAUUUGUUCGCAAUAUCAGUGACAUGCUGAAGGUAUGCAUCUCAAUAAUUGAUUCUCCAGUGGUUUUCAUGCUGUCAUCCGAUAACUGUUCUUAAUAUUUGGGAAUCUUCAGAUUCUAUCCAAUGGCCUUUAUGAAUCAACAUUGCAUCGGGUGACUAACAACUCUCCCAUUUAUCGGGUCUGCGUGGCCUACUUUUAUGAGGUAAUCCUCUCUCUUAAUUUUCCUUUUUUAUUUUGAUUCAGCUUCUUAAUCAAUCUCCUUGGUUUUUUUCACAUGAAUAGCCAAAUUAUGAUGCUGUAAUAGAGCCAUUGGAUGUAAGCGUAAAACAAACUGGUGGAACCACGAGGUUUGAAGGUGCUGUUUACGGUAAACACUUGGUCAGUAAAGUCCUGACAAAUUUCAUAUACUGAGGAAUAAAUAUAUCUCCCCAUUUUGCCUGUUUCGACUGAAUCUCUCACAUUCACGAAUUUUGGGGAUUUCAUCCGUUAGCCGUUGAAAGGAUGUACAAUAAUAUCUUGUGUUUAUUGGAUUAAGUUGUCGGUUGAUUUAAGAUGACAUGACCUCAUCAAGUUCUCGGAGUUUUUGGAACUCUGUACCUAGCUGAUCCCCGUUUCUUUCAUUUGGUUUUGCCUUGAAUUGUGCAAUUAUGUUGGCGUAUCAGUAUUCAACUAUUCAUAAAGCACCCUCAACUUUGGAACAUAAAUAUAAGCUGGUUGGCUUAGGCUUUAACUACGUAUUAAUGACAGCGAUGGUUUACUGUAUACACUUAUAAAAUACUCCCUCCGUCCCACUUUGACAGUUUUGAUUCUUUUUUUACACAAUUUAAGAAAAAGUAGUUAAUUUUAUUGAAACAAUCAAUUUAGGUGGCUAUUUUUCUAAAAUACACUCACAUUAAUUAGAGUACAACUUUAUGAGAACUUGAAUUGAUAGUAAAAAAAGAAUAAACUCUCAUUAAAUGGGGUAGGUUUAUAGUAACAACAACUUACAUUGAAUAAGGGUAUUUUAAGAAAAUUAAAAUACAAUUACAUUCUUCAAUUGGAAAGUGGACUAUAAUUUGGGACAGACGAAAAAGGAAAACAGGACUAUCAAAGUGGGACGGAGGGAGUAUUUCGCGGACAGAGGAAGAUUUUCUCCUCCAGCUUCUGACAACAAAAUACAUACAUAGACUUAAUAUUACGGCGUAAUGAUGGGGUAGGCACUUAGGCGGCUGGCUGCCGACACCGAAAUUCACGAGCCUGGCUCUUUUAAAGCAGCAUAUGUCGGCGAUGGAGGCCUUGCCCGCUUGGGCACAUGAUCGGAUGUCUGUGGUGUGCCCUUAGAAACAUAAAUGCCGCAAGGCACGUAGUUGAGCCAUUUCGGGUCCGGGCAGGUCCAGCGCCUUGAGAAGAAAGCCUCGCAUUCCUCGGGGCUUCUUUGCGAAGGAAGGUCUAGAAUGCAAUUCAUGGUUACGUUCAGGACUUUCUUCUCGAUUAACUUCCAGCAUUCUGGUCCGACUUGAGUGAAAUAAUUGAACUUGAGGUCCAGUACCUCCAGGUCGCCCAGGAUGCACAAGCUCUCUGGAACCGCCCCGUAGAAUUGGUUGUACGACAAGUUCAGCUGCUGAAUAUCUUUCAAGCACCCGAAUGAUUGUGGAAUGGGACCUGUCAAUUGGUUUAUGCUGACAUCCACAAUAUGUGUUUUAUUCAGAAACCCAAUCUCAUAAGGUAGGCAACCGGAGAGGCUGUUGUUUAAGAAAAGAACCUCGAGGAGAUUUCUGGAAGUUUGGCCAAUGCUCUUGGGGAUUGGGCCGGUUAAUUCGUUGUUUGCAAAGGUGAGAUAGAGUACAGGGGUUUGGCCAAGAUUGUGGGGGAUUUUUCCGGAGAAUGCGUUGUUGUUGAGGAAGAGCACGUCCAGGUCUAGUGUGAAGGCCUGAGGCGGGAUUGUCCCUGUUAACUGGUUGAACCUGACGUCCAGGUAUGUCAAGUUGGUUGCCCCUAGGGCUGCUGCGGGGAAAGCUCCUACGAGCUUGUUGUUGCUCAGGUCGAACUCGAAGAAGUUUGGAAGUUUGGAUAUUCCAAAGGGAAUGUCACCUGUGA